GUAACGGUGUCUUUAGACACCACCCUUUGUCUUAAAAAAAAAUGUU
rfam:Picea glauca, whole genome shotgun sequence.